UGUCGAGGCAAGCAUACUGCCACCAAACCAGACAGCGUAGCGUUGCAUAUGAUGAGUAAUAACUUGAACAUCCACUGGCUUAGGCUGAAACAAAGCAGUAUAAAAAGAUUGGCGUAUGUUGAUUUGGGCACAGUUCAUUUCCUUGCGAUUAUAUCUUGAUGCAGCCUAGACCUAGGCCUUUACUCGGCUGGCUUUGGCAGGUAUCUUUGGCACGUUUGGUCAAUUUCCGGCUAGCAUUUGGUAAUUAUCGCAAUGGUCAUUUGCCUCGUAAAGGCCUAGUAGAUUUCACAAGUUCUCAAAUUAGCCCCAUAUAAACUUCUUGAUCCGAAAUUGAUCAGAAACCAACAACUAAAGCAAUUUAUACUGUCCAGUAGUUAUUACAUUAACUAUAAAAACAUUUUAUGACUAAACUAACCUAUUAUUAGUUUAUAAAUGUCGCGUUAAAUUGUAUUAAACAUCUUUAAAG